rnacentral:lncRNA from 1 species
AGAACCUCGUAAGAUGUCUUGAGCCUCUGAAACUUCUCAUGAGCAUCGGGAUCAUCUCGGCGUUUGUCCGGAUGCAAGUCCAAAGCUUUCAACCUGUAUGCUUUUGAAAUCUCUUUCUCGCUAAGGUUCUGAGCUUCCUCUCCAGAAGGUAAGCCUAGAACUAUGUAAUGGUCCACAAACUCCUCCAUUUCUUCCUCCUUCGUCACCCUACUAGUCCAACAGAAAGGAGAGUUAGUAAUCUGAGAAAGCUUGACAACUCCAAUUGCAUAAAAACAGAUAUAAUGCCAAGUGACAUGCAAAUACUACACUGAUAGUUUUUUUUAGAACAUCAUAGAAUGUACAAGCAAGAUAAACCACAGAAACGCAAUUCAGGGUCUUUCUUUCUCUCUUACACUACCCAUCAAUCAAAGUUAUAAACUUGAAUAACUUACACGAAGCCAAUGAAGGAGGAUAAAAGCAGAGAUGGAUAUCUGAAGCUUUUAAUUUUCGAUUUCAGAGCAAUCUGUUCGAAAAGGUCUCUCCUUUAGGGUUUGUAUAACCGUCAAGGAUCGAAGACAUGAGUUCAAGGUUCUUAAGGUUGUUAUGAACUAACCUAAAACAUGGACUGUUGUUGUUUACUUCCGAAUCAAUUACACACUCAAAAACACACAAACAUCAUCAAGAGAUUUGGACUUAAGACACACAAGACAGCUAUCUCGAACUAAAGUGAAAUCCGUACGAAUCAAAUCGGUAACCCUAGAACUUAAAGUUUCCUUCUCUAAAAACUAUAUCGAGCAAGUUCAAACGGAGGAAAAGAGAAAGUUACUGCUUGAGAAAUCGAGUUACCUUUUGGAGAAUUGAUGAUACCAACGAGGAGGAGGAGGAAGAAGAUGAUGAAUCAGUCGAUUCGCGUGAUUCGUCGUGGAUUGAAGAAGAUUUUGAGUUUAGGCUUUGCCAAUCCCAGUUUUAUUUAAGAAAAUUCUGUAAUGAAAACAAAUAAAAGGACAAUUUAACAAAUCUGAGAAACAUUGAGGACCGAAGAAGAAUAUAUUAGAUUAGUCUAAUGGCACCGUUUAAAGGGGGCUCAAGGCUUGCAACAGGCCCAUUCUUAUAGACUAUGCGGAUCUGUCAUUUAAACCAAACCAGCCGGUUCGUUUCGUAUUUACUUCUGGAGGAUUAUUUACACAGUAUCAUCAGAUGAUACAAAAGGAAUAUGAUUUGUACUUUGAUUAUUAUUUAACAAGUAACAAUAAUCCGAACUCAAAUUUAUCAGAUAGAAAAUACUACGAGAAAGAAAAGAUUACUCAAGAACUUGAUUGUUAAAUAAGAGAGUGGUCAGGGGAAAUAUACAGCAAACCAACCACUACUAUUAAAAGCGUCUCUCUCUCUCUACCUUGGGUAUCAUUUUUCAUGUAGAUGAUCACUUCUACCUCUUCCUAAAUAAAACUUUCCAGCCUCUUUCUUUUCCCUUUCUUUUUUUGUUCAAUUUUUAGCAGAAACUUACGCUCCCUUUCCUCCAGAUCAGACAUCAUCUUGCGCCUCUUGGAAUCCACUUGCGAUUUCUUGUGCUGUUUCUCGCGCUGGAUUCUAAGAAGAUCAUCGAACAGCUUCCGAGCUUUCUCGUCUUUGAGAACCUCGUAAGAUGUCUUGAGCCUCUGAAACUUCUCAUGAGCAUCGGGAUCAUCUCGGCGUUUGUCCGGAUGCAAGUCCAAAGCUUUCAACCUGUAUGCUUUUGAAAUCUCUUUCUCGCUAAGGUUCUGAGCUUCCUCUCCAGAAGGUAAGCCUAGAACUAUGUAAUGGUCCACAAACUCCUCCAUUUCUUCCUCCUUCGUCACCC